UACGUAGGGACCAAGCGUUGUUCGGAUUUACUGGGCGUAAAGGGCGCGUAGGCGGCAAUUCAAGUCAUCUGUGAAAUCUCCGGGCUUAACCCGGAACGGUCAGAUGAUACUGCUUUGCUAGAGUGCGGAAGGGGCAAUCGGAAUUCUUGGUGUAGCGGUGAAAUGCGUAGAUAUCAAGAGGAACACCUGAGGUGAAGACGGGUUGCUGGGCCGACACUGACGCUGAGUGCGCGAAAGCCAGGGGAGCAAACGGG
rnacentral:rRNA from 1 species